UAUAUCAUAAUUACCUAAAGUUGUAUGAUAUUUCAGAAUAAGCAAUUUUUUUUUUCUUGUGGACCGAUAGAAGGAAAUUUACAUCUUCUAGAAAAUACAUGUAUUUCUGUAACGUCCAUUGGUUCCGGAAGAUUUCUUAAGUACCAUAAAAGUUUGCUCAUUUCUUCUCAAAUUUCUAAAAUUUAAUUAUUUCUCUAAA
rnacentral:lncRNA from 1 species